rnacentral:ncRNA from 1 species
ACAAUGGAGAGUUUGAUCCUGGCUCAGGAUGAACGCUAGCUACAGGCUUAACACAUGCAAGUCGAGGGGAAACGAUGAGAGAGCUUGCUCUCUCAGGCGUCGACCGGCGCACGGGUGAGUAACGCGUAUCCAACCUGCCCAUUACAGGGGAAUAACCUUGACGAAAGUAAGAACUAAUGCCCAUGGUAUUCUCAGCAGACAUCUAAUG